rnacentral:misc_RNA from 1 species
GAUGAAGAACGCAGCGAAAUGCGAUACUUGGUGUGAAUUGCAGAAUCCCGUGAACCAUCGAGUCUUUGAACGCAAGUUGCGCCCGAAGCCAUUAGGCCGAGGGCACGCCUGCCUGGGCGUCACACGUCGUUGCCCCCCCAUCUACUCCUUCGGGAUUGCGGGGGGCGGAUGAUGGCCUCCCGUGCGCCUUGUCGCGCGGUUGGCAUAAAUGCCAAGUCCUCGGCGACGCACGCCACGACAAUCGGUGGUUGCGAAACCUCGGUUGCCCGUCGUGUGCGGUCGUCGCGCAUCGAGGGCUCGAAAAAAUUGUCGGACUCCGGCUCGGCUUUCAACGCGACCCCAGGUCAGGCGGGGUUACCCGCUGAAUUUAAGCAUAUCAAUAAGCGGAGGA